AUUGCACAAUGGGCGCAAGCCUGAUGCAGCCAUGCCGCGUGUGUGAAGAAGGCCUUCGGGUUGUAAAGCACUUUCAGCGGGGAGGAAGGCGAUAAGGUUAAUAACCUUGUCGAUUGACGUUACCCGCAGAAGAAGCACCGGCUAACUCCGUGCCAGCAGCCGCGGUAAUACGGAGGGUGCAAGCGUUAAUCGGAAUUACUG
rnacentral:rRNA from 1 species